UACGGAGGGUGCAAGCGUUAUCCGGAUUCACUGGGUUUAAAGGGUGCGUAGGUGGGCAGGUAAGUCAGUGGUGAAAUCUCCGGGCUUAACUCGGAAACUGCCAUUGAUACUAUCUGUCUUGAAUACCGUGGAGGUCAGCGGAAUAUGUCAUGUAGCGGUGAAAUGCUUAGAUAUGACAUAGAACACCAAUUGCGAAGGCAGCUGGCUACACGAAUAUUGACACUGAUGCACGAAAGCGUGGGGAU
rnacentral:rRNA from 1 species